UCUUAUUACUUUGACCAU
rnacentral:rRNA from 1 species